rnacentral:lncRNA from 1 species
AAACAUACCUUUGCUUGAUUGUUUGCAUGGAAACAAGAAGAUGAGGGAAAAAAGAGACCACAUGCAUCAUCUGUACACACCCAGCACCCAGGAAUGUCUGAUUUCUCUGUUCUGCAACCAGCCUUAUGCAUGCCCCUCUGAACUCAAAAAGAUCCUGGCUUCUGCAUCCAGCCCCAUUUGGUCCACAACUCUACCCCAGGCCUGCUCUCUCCCUCAGCCAAGUGGAGUCCCUACAAAACGUGGUGCACAACUGGAGACAGGACAAAGAUUUCACCUGAUACCACGUGACGACGAGCUC